rnacentral:rRNA from 1 species
AACGAACGCUGGCGGCAGGCCUAACACAUGCAAGUCGAGCGCGCCUUCGGGUGAGCGGCGGCCGGGUGAGUAACGCGUGGGAAUAUGCCCUUCUCUACGGAAUAGUCCUGGGAAACUGGGGGUAAUACCGUAUACGCCCUUUGGGGGAAAGAUUUAUCGGGGAAGGAUUAGCCCGCGUUGGAUUAGGUAGUUGGUGGGGUAAUGGCCUACCAAGCCGACGAUCCAUAGCUGGUUUGAGAGGAUGAUCAGCCACACUGGGACUGAGACACGGCCCAGACUCCUACGGGAGGCAGCAGUGGGGAAUCUUAGACAAUGGGGGCAACCCUGAUCUAGCCAUGCCGCGUGAGUGAUGAAGGCCUUAGGGUUGUAAAGCUCUUUCAGCUGGGAAGAUAAUGACGGUACCAGCAGAAGAAGCCCCGGCUAACUCCGUG